rnacentral:lncRNA from 1 species
AUUAUUUGCUUAUAUAAUUUAAAAAAUAGAAAUUAUAUAUAUAUAUAUAUAUAUAUAUAGAGAGAGAGAGAGAGAGAGUUGAGCUAGAAUACUAUCGAUAGCAAAUGGGCUCCGUUGCCAUCCAUUUGUUUUUGAUGAUGGGGCCUCUAAAUCGACGAUCUGAAUCGUUGAACAUGAUCUAUACCACUUGAAAUGUUUAGAAAUCAAAUUUCAUGCAUUUUCGACGUUAUUCUCUUAUCCAUCGAGUGGACACAAAAAUGAACGGCUGAAAAUAAAUAUUUUUUAAAAAAUAAUGAUAGGAAUCUUGUAAUCAAGAUCAAGAGUAUAGAUCUUGUUUUAAAUAGUUUAAAGAAUUUUUUAACAAAAAUUCAAUUGAUUUGAAUAUCUUUACACCGUUAAACGAGAAAACGUCUCGUAUCGACCAUUAAAAUUACAAAUUUUGAAACCAUUUGAUCAUUAGGCAAAUGAUGUCGAAAAGAUUUAAAAUUUGAUUUCUAAACACUUCAAGUGGUAUAGAUAAUGUUCAAUGGUACUGAUCGUUGAUUUGGAGGCUCUAUCAUCAAAAAUAUAUGGGUGGCAACGAAGCUCGCUUACUAUCAAUAGUAUUCUAGCUCAACUCUCUCUCUAUAUAUAUAUAUAUAUAAUAAAAUCUGUCUUUUAAAAAAUCUAGAAAAGUAUUUAUAAUAAAUUAUUUCAUU